CAUGCAAGUCGAGCGAAUGGAUUAAGAGCUUGCUCUUAUGAAGUUAGCGGCGGACGGGUGAGUAACACGUGGGUAACCUGCCCAUAAGACUGGGAUAACUCCGGGAAACCGGGGCUAAUACCGGAUAACAUUUUGAACCGCAUGGUUCGAAAUUGAAAGGCGGCUUCGGCUGUCACUUAUGGAUGGACCCGCGUCGCAUUAGCUAGUUGGUGAGGUAACGGCUCACCAAGGCAACGAUGCGUAGCCGACCUGAGAGGGUGAUCGGCCACACUGGGACUGAGACACGGCCCAGACUCCUACGGGAGGCAGCAGUAGGGAAUCUUCCGCAAUGGACGAAAGUCUGACGGAGCAACGCCGCGUGAGUGAUGAAGGCUUUCGGGUCGUAAAACUCUGUUGUUAGGGAAGAACAAGUGCUAGUUGAAUAAGCUGGCACCUUGACGGUACCUAACCAGAAAGCCACGGCUAACUACGUGCCAGCAGCCGCGGUAAUACGUAGGUGGCAAGCGUUAUCCGGAAUUAUUGGGCGUAAAGCGCGCGCAGGUGGUUUCUUAAGUCUGAUGUGAAAGCCCACGGCUCAACCGUGGAGGGUCAUUGGAAACUGGGAGACUUGAGUGCAGAAGAGGAAAGUGGAAUUCCAUGUGUAGCGGUGAAAUGCGUAGAGAUAUGGAGGAACACCAGUGGCGAAGGCGACUUUCUGGUCUGUAACUGACACUGAGGCGCGAAUUGCUGCUGCGC
rnacentral:rRNA from 1 species